rnacentral:rRNA from 1 species
UGCGCAGGCGGUCUAUUAAGUCAGAUGUAAAAUACCGAGGCUCAACCUCGGGGAGCAACUGAAACUUUUAGACUUGAGUUAAGGAGAGGGAAGUGGAAUUCCUAGUGUAGCGGUGAAAUGCGUAGAUAUUAGGAAGAAUACCGGUGGCGAAGGCGACUUUCUGGACUUAAACUGACGCUGAGGCACGAAAGUGUGGGGAGCAAACAGGA